UGUAGAAUGAAAACAAAAAGAAGCAAAAAAAAUGAAACCGAAAAAGAAAAAAAAUAAAAUGAAAAUGAAUUUUUUUUUGAAGAAACAAAUACAAAAAUGAAAAUCUGAAAUUUCAGCUAAGAUGCCAGUGCUGAACAGAUUAACCAACCAACAAUGCUCACCGGAACAACCACACUUGAAGAAAAAAAUAUUAGAAAAAAGGCAUCACCAAAAUCAUGUGUUCACCUCGCCGUCAUCACUAAACAGAGGACCCCUGCUGCUGCUCCAGAGAUGAGAUGUCAUCUGUAGCUCUAUCAACGUCCCUGCACUGAGGCGGAGAAGAUCAUCUCUUUUAGCAAAGGACUGUAAUAAUUAACUAACUGAAAAUUUGACAUUCUGGACUAUGCUUGGCUCUGGUUUUGUGAAAUCUCAUUUCUUUUCUACUGCCAUGACUAGUCAUGAAUUUUAUUUUACUUUCCCCACUUUAUAACAUUCAGAAAUUGUUUACUAGCUCAAGCUUCUCCUUUUUGCACUUUAUCUGUUCAAUCUGCUGCUACCUCAAGCUUCUCGUUUACACUUGUGCCAAGUAACAUUUUUUUUAUUAACUUCUAAUAUAUGGUGGUUGACUGAGCUGCUACUUUUUCCUUGUACAAGAUCGCAGGUCGAGUGGGAGGGAUCCAGUUGCGACGACACCGAAUCACCAGCAAGGCAGCUGCAUAGAAUAAUAGGGUGUGUCUGCGCGCGUGAUCCAUCCAGGAUCAUGGAUCAUGCCGCGUCACAACUCGAGAUAGGGGGUGUGCAGCUGCAGCCAGAAAUGGAGACAAUGUCUGCUGAAACUGAAGAUGUUGCUGGUGGGAUGUUUGGAGACAUGGUCGUCGUCGUAAACAAGAGGAGGAGGAUCUGGCAUCAGCAUGGAAGAAGGCACAGACAAUCUGAAUCUUGUGUUCCUGUUGAGGCUGGAGGUGCGACUGAAUCUAACAUGGUGCCUGCAGAGAGUGUUCCUGUCGAGUCUGGAGGUGUGACGGCUGCAUCUGACCUGUGAAUCUGUAGUUGAACGCUGCAGCAGCCAGCACACAAGUGAAUCCUGGCAGAUUGGUUGGAUUGAGAAGAUUAGUGGUACUACAAACUUUGAAGGGUUAGAAUGAGGAUAACAUCAUGGUUCCUUCCUGUAAUAGUUAGUGUUAACUGCUACUCGUAGUAGGUACUGUCUGUAGUUGGUCAUGGAAAUGGAAAUGGAAAUGGAAAUGAUGGUUGGAGA